rnacentral:rRNA from 1 species
CAGUCGCCGCGGUAAUACGUAGGUCCCGAGCGUUGUCCGGAUUUAUUGGGCGUAAAGCGAGCGCAGGCGGUUAGAUAAAUCUGAAGUUAAAGGCUGUGGCUUAACCAUAGUACGCUUUGGAAACUGUUUAACUUGAGUGCAAGAGGGGAGAGUGGAAUUCCAUGUGUAGCGGUGAAAUGCGUAGAUAUAUGGAGGAACACCGGUGGCGAAAGCGGCUCUCUGGCUUGUAACUGACGCUGAGGCUCGAAAGCGUGGGGAGCAAACAGGAUUAGAUACCCCGGUAGUCCCUGUCUCUUAUACA